rnacentral:rRNA from 1 species
AACGAACGCUGGCGGCAUGCCUAACACAUGCAAGUCGAACGAGACCUUCGGGUCUAGUGGCGCACGGGUGCGUAACGCGUGGGAACCUGCCCUUAGGUUCGGAAUAACUCCCCGAAAGGGGUGCUAAUACCGGAUAAUGUCUUCGGACCAAAGAUUUAUCGCCUUUGGAUGGGCCCGCGUUGGAUUAGCUAGUUGGUAGGGUAAAAGCCUACCAAGGUGACGAUCCAUAGCUGGUCUGAGAGGAUGAUCAGCCACACUGGGACUGAGACACGGCCCAGACUCCUACGGGAGGCAGCAGUGGGGAAUAUUGGACAAUGGGCGAAAGCCUGAUCCAGCAAUGCCGCGUGAGUGAUGAAGGCCUUAGGGUUGUAAAGCUCUGUUACCCGGGAUGAUAAUGACAGUACCGGGAGAAUAAGCUCAGGCUAACUCCGUG